GUACUGCUGAGGAGUCCAAAACUAGGACGAAAUAGCUGUCCAGUAC
rnacentral:hammerhead_ribozyme from 1 species